UUGGAGAAAAGACAGCUCUGUCUUCAUUUUAUUGAAGUCACGGGCUUGAGCGUGUGGUCGGGCAAAGGGGCGAGCCGAACCAGCUACCAAUAAAGGGAGAAAUGCAGCCCCCAAGGCGCUCAACUUUCCGGGGUGGUAGAAACGUGGAGGUCCCGUGUCUGCUGCAGAGCCGUGACCCAGGCUCCCCGCGCGCCUUUGUCCCCGCACGCCGCCCACGCUCCUCUGCCCUCAAGGUCGCGGCGCAGGCGGCCGCUGUCGCUCGGGCACGACCCAUUCGGCCGCCUGGCCCGCAGCCUCUCGCUGCCAUUCCAACACGAAUGAAAGCCUCCUUAAUAAGAGUGUAAAUAAAAGCCAGGCUGAGAAAUGAGUUUUCCGUCCCAGCAAUCACCGGCCGAACCUCAGCUGUAAAUAGCCUCGGGGAGCCACCUGGGGAGUCCCGGAACCUGGGGGAUCCAGGCCAUCAUCUCAGCAGCGCCGCCAACAGCUGGGAGCGGCUGGAACCUGGACCCGGGAGGCAGCGCCAGUCCCGCUCCGGCACUGUGGCAGGAAAUCACUCGGGGCCUACACCCCCGCCCCCGCGCUGGAGGACCCUCCACCCUCGCAGUGCUACUCCUUGGGGGCCGAGUGCGGCCGACAGAAUAAUCUCAGUCUGCGGUGUCCUUGGGAGGGACGGCGGCCAGGCCCCCUAAUUUAUGGUCAUCGGUGGAAUGGCUUUAACAUGAUUUAUCUGACCGCGGAGGAGAUGGCAAAAGCCUCGAGAAGAAUGAUUGGCCGUCCAGGCUUUGUGCAUUUCUGAUUGGCCUUAUUAAUUUAGAACAGAGCCAGGGAGCAGCCUCCCGGCUGAGCCAGAAAAAUCAACUUGGCAACAGCCUCCACGUAGAGUCAGUUUUGGGGCUGGCAAAGGUUUAACUUUUGCCGAAACUGAAGGAAUAAUGUAUUGCUUUAAGCAGUCGGGGAGUUUGACAGAAGGUGCUAGCACACUGAUUAAAGCAGAUUUAGUCUGAAAGAGAGUGAAGAUCAUUUGGUUUGACUGAUUCCUUUUUUUCUUCUUCGUGUUUGUACAGACCAAAGACAUCAGUGUUUGGUGGGUGGAAGGGAGGAAGAGUGUUUUCUUGUUUUUAUUGUUAAUGUUUGACUACUGGGGGAGAAACACAACACUUAUGGCUUAGAAGGGAAGAAAUUUGGGGAAAUCAGGAAGCAAGUAAGUAUUGGAACAUGCUUUUUAAAAUGAUACAUUUCACAAUCCUUGGGAAAAAUAUUUCUUGCCUUUUGAGUUCUCUUCAUACAUCAUAACUAAUAUUUAUGGAA
rnacentral:lncRNA from 1 species